rnacentral:rRNA from 1 species
GACGAACGCUGGCGGCGUGCUUAACACAUGCAAGUCGAACGGAAAGGCCCUGCUUUUGUGGGGUGCUCGAGUGGCGAACGGGUGAGUAACACGUGAGUAACCUGCCCUUGACUUUGGGAUAACUUCAGGAAACUGGGGCUAAUACCGGAUAGGAGCUCCUGCUGCAUGGUGGGGGUUGGAAAGUUUCGGCGGUUGGGGAUGGACUCGCGGCUUAUCAGCUUGUUGGUGGGGUAGUGGCUUACCAAGGCUUUGACGGGUAGCCGGCCUGAGAGGGUGACCGGCCACAAUGGGACUGAGGAACGGCCCAGAAUCCUAAGGGAGGCAGCAGGGGGGAAUAUUGCACAAUGGGCGGAAGCCUGAUGCAGCAACGCCGCGUGCGGGAUGACGGCCUUCGGGUUGUAAACCGCUUUCGCCUGUGACGAAGCGUGAGUGACGGUAAUGGGUAAAGAAGCACCGGCUAACUACGUG